GGCUCAGGAUGAACGCUGGCGGCGUGCUUAACACAUGCAAGUCGAACGGGGAUUAUUUCAUUGAAGCUUCGGCAGAUUUGGCUUAAUCCUAGUGGCGGACGGGUGAGUAACGCGUGGGUAACCUGCCUUGUACAGGGGGAUAACAGUCAGAAAUGACUGCUAAUACCGCAUAAGCGCACAGGACCGCAUGGUCCGGUGUGAAAAACUCCGGUGGUAUAAGAUGGACCCGCGUUGGAUUAGCUAGUUGGCAGGGUAACGGCCUACCAAGGCGACGAUCCAUAGCCGGCCUGAGAGGGUGAACGGCCACAUUGGGACGGAGACACGGCCCAGACUCCUACGGGAGGCAGCAGUGGGGGAUAUUGCACAAUGGGGGAAACCCUGAUGCAGCAACGCCGCGUGUGGGAAGAAGGUUUUCGGAUUGUAAACCACUGUUCUUGGUGAAGAUAAUGACGGUAACCAAGGAGAAAGCUCCGGCUAACUACGUGCCAGCAGCCGCGGUAAUACGUAGGGAGCAAGCGUUGUCCGGAUUUACUGGGUGUAAAGGGUGCGUAGGCGGCUAGGCAAGUCAGACGUGAAAACCAUGGGCUCAACCUGUGGACUGCGUUUGAAACUGUUUAGCUUGAGUGAAGUAGAGGUAGGCGGAAUUCCCGGUGUAGCGGUGAAAUGCGUAGAGAUCGGGAGGAACACCAGUGGCGAAGGCGGCCUACUGGGCUUUAACUGACGCUGAGGCACGAAAGCAUGGGUAGCAAACAGGAUUAGAUACCCUGGUAGUCCAUGCCGUAAACGGUGAUUACUAGGUGUGGGGGGUCUGACCCCCUCCGUGCCGGAGUUAACACAAUAAGUAAUCCACCUGGGGAGUACGGCCGCAAGGUUGAAACUCAAAGGAAUUGACGGGGGCCCGCACAAGCAGUGGAGUAUGUGGUUUAAUUCGAAGCAACGCGAAGAACCUUACCAGGUCUUGACAUCCGACUAACGAAGUAGAGAUACAUUAGGUGCCCUUUUUGGGAAAGUCGAGACAGGUGGUGCAUGGUUGUCGUCAGCUCGUGUCGUGAGAUGUUGGGUUAAGUCCCGCAACGAGCGCAACCCUUGUCAUUAGUUGCUACGUAAGAGCACUCUAAUGAGACUGCCGUUGACAAAACGGAGGAAGGUGGGGACGACGUCAAAUCAUCAUGCCCCUUAUGACCUGGGCUACACACGUACUACAAUGGCCGUUAACAGAGGGAAGCAAUACCGUGAGGUGGAGCCAAACCCUAAAAACGGUCCCAGUUCGGAUUGUAGGCUGAAACUCGCCUACAUGAAGUUGGAAUUGCUAGUAAUCGCGGAUCAGCAUGCCGCGGUGAAUACGUUCCCGGGCCUUGUACACACCGCCCGUCACACCAUGGGAGCCGGUAAUACCCGAAGCCAGUAGUCUAACCGUAAGGAGGACGCUGUCGAAGGUAGGAUUGGCGA
rnacentral:rRNA from 1 species